UCGCAAGACCAUCAACAGCUAUUUAGACUCUCAAAAUCGAGCACCGGAGAGCUGCCUGGAAGCACAUUUCUUAAGAGAGUUAACAGAACAUCUCCGGAGAAGUGGGCAAGGCAGGCGUAGGCGGAACACAAACACACACAGACAUUCCCGAUUCCUGCCCCAGGAAGGAUGCCGAAUGCCGCCAGCAGCUUUCUCCUGGAAGCCCAGCCAGUUCUGCACAUUCUCCUUUGAGCUAUCUGCUCAGGAAUGCACAUGUGCUUCCUGGUGGACUGAAUGCAUAUAUUUGGGAGUCUUCUUCCAGAUUGUGAGAACAGCGGUUAUGGAGAUGAGAGAAAUGUGCUUGAAGACUAAACGAGAAGUUCCAG